rnacentral:rRNA from 1 species
AACGAACGCUGGCGGCAUGCCUAACACAUGCAAGUCGAACGAGACCUUCGGGUCUAGUGGCGCACGCGUGCGUAACGCGUGGGAACCUGCCCUUAGGCUCGGAAUAACUCCCCGACAGGGGGGCUAAUACCGGAUAAUGUCCGCUAACCAAAGAUUCAUCGCGUUUGGAUGGGCCCGCGUUGUAUUAGCUAGUUGGUAGGGUAAAAGCCUACCAAGGCGACGAUCCAUAGCUGGUCUGAGAGGAUGAUCAGCGACACUGGGACUGAGACACGGCCCAGAAUCCUACGGGAGGCGGCAGUGGGGAAUAUUGGACAAUGGGCGAAAGCCUGAUCCAGCAAUGCCGCGUGAGUGAUGAAGGCCUUAGGGUUGUAAAGCUCUUUUACCCGGGAUGAUAAUGACAGUACCGAGAGAAUAAGCACCGGCUAACUCCGUG